GAAUGCAACUACUGUAGCUGGUGAUGCCCUUCCUGAUUAAAUGAUAUAUCCCUAGUCUUCCACCGCCCGGUAAAAGAAGUGAGUUGAAUUAGGUUGUUGAUUUUCCGAUGAAAGGAAAGAAAGAAAAAAGAAAGCAAGCAUACAUUCCUAAACUACUGAUCUAUCUCUUUAUGAGUAGAAUCUAUUGGAUGCCCGUUUACGAUGCAACUAUCGAAAGCCAUUUGCACCAGGUUUAUAAAGACUGGUUCGAAAGGACCAGGCG
rnacentral:lncRNA from 1 species